GAUGAACGCCGGCGGUGUGCCUAAUACAUGCAAGUCGAGCGCACUGGCCCAACUGAUAUGACGUGCUUGCACUGAAUUGACGUUGGAUUCCCAGUGAGCGGCGGACGGGUGAGUAACACGUGGGCAACCUGCCCUGAAGCGGGGGAUAACAUCUGGAAACAGGUGCUAAUACCGCAUAACAACGAAAACCACAUGGUUUUCGUUUCAAAGAUGGUUUCGGCUAUCACUUCAGGAUGGGCCCGCGGUGCAUUAGCUAGUUGGUAAGGUAACGGCUUACCAAGGCGAUGAUGCAUAGCCGAGUUGAGAGACUGAUCGGCCACAAUGGAACUGAGACACGGUCCAUACUCCUACGGGAGGCAGCAGUAGGGAAUCUUCCACAAUGGGCGCAAGCCCGAUGGAGCAACACCGCGUGAGUGAAGAAGGGUUUCGGCUCGUAAAGCUCUGUUGUUGGAGAAGAACGUGCGUGAGAGUAACUGUUCACGCAAUGACGGAUCCAACCAGAAA
rnacentral:rRNA from 2 species